GACGAACGCUGGCGGCGUGCUUAACACAUGCAAGUCGAACGGAAAGGCCCUGCUUUUGUGGGGUGCUCGAGUGGCGAACGGGUGAGUAACACGUGAGUAACCUGCCCUUGACUUUGGGAUAACUUCAGGAAACUGGGGCUAAUACCGGAUAGGAGCUCCUGCUGCAUGGUGGGGGUUGGAAAGUUUCGGCGGUGGGGGAUGGACUCGCGGCUUAUCAGCUUGUUGGUGGGGUAGUGGCUUACCAAGGCUUUGACGGGUAGCCGGCAUGAGAGGGUGACCGGCCACCUUGGGACUGCGAUACGGACCAGACUCCUACGGGAGGCAGCAGUGGGGAAUAUUGCACAAUGGGCGGAAGCCUGAUGCAGCAACGCCGCGUGCGGGAUGACGGCCUUCGGGUUGUAAACCGCUUUCGCCUGUGACGAAGCGUGAGUGACGGUAAUGGGUAAAGAAGCACCGGCUAACUACGUG
rnacentral:rRNA from 1 species